GAUGAACGCUGGCUACAGGCUUAACACAUGCAAGUCGAGGGGAAACGACGGGGAAGCUUGCUUCCCCGGGCGUCGACCGGCGCACGGGUGAGUAACGCGUAUCCAACCUGCCUCUGACUGAGGGAUAACCCGUCGAAAGUCGGCCUAAUACCUCAUGGCAUCGUCUGCGGGCAUCCAACGACGAUUAAAGAUUUCAUCGGUCAGAGAUGGGGAUGCGUCUGAUUAGCUUGUUGGCGGGGUAACGGCCCACCAAGGCGACGAUCAGUAGGGGUUCUGAGAGGAAGGUCCCCCACAUUGGAACUGAGACACGGUCCAAACUCCUACGGGAGGCAGCAGUGAGGAAUAUUGGUCAAUGGGCGAGAGCCUGAACCAGCCAAGUAGCGUGCAGGAUGACGGCCCUAUGGGUUGUAAACUGCUUUUAGGCGGGGAUAAAGUGGGGGACGUGUCCUUCUUUGCAGGUACCGCAUGAAUAAGGACCGGCUAAUUCCGUG
rnacentral:rRNA from 1 species